UUCCCUUCCCUUCCCUUCCCUUCCCUUCCCUUCCCUUCCCAGAGCCACCUCCUCAGCCCACCAUCCCCAUCAUGGGCAUCAUUGCUGGCCUGGUUCUCCUUGUGGUCACUGGAGCUGUGGUGGCUGGAGCUACGAUGUGGAGGAAGAAGCACGCAGGUGGAAAAGGAGGGAGCUACUCACAGGCUGAAAGCAGUGACAGUGCCUAGGGCUCUGAGGUGUCUCCCAAGACUCAUAAAGUGUGAGCCAGCUGCCUUGUAGGGGACUGAGUGAUGCAAGAUUUGUUUACACUCUCACUUUUUUGACAUCAAGAGCCCCAGACAUCUCUAUCUGCUAAAGGUGUCAGAAUAUGUAUAUGUUCCUAUUAGCAUAAUAUGAGGAGGUGGGGAGACUGGUCCAACCUUACCCUACGUGAUACCCUCCAUGACGCCUUCCCAAACGAAUCUGUGUUCUCUUCCCUGACAUGCUUUCCUGUUCCAGCAUGGGGAUGACUGGGUCAUCCCCAUCCCUGUGUUUACUUCAUGUUUGCCCGAGAAGUAAUAUUUUACUUCUCUAUUGAAAAUCUGGAUAUGAAUUUGUUUUUUCUAUUCUUGUCAUAUAGGACUGGUGUGGUAAUAAAGGAGAAGACUCCUAAAGUUGAGAUAGGAAAUCAAUGGAAGCACUGAGAACCUUCCAGAAUCUGCCAAAUUGCUGUACAGUCUGUUGUAGGUAGAACAGGAGAGGCUGUGA